AUUGAACGCUGGCGGCAGGCCUAACACAUGCAAGUCGAGCGGCAGCGGAAAGUAGCUUGCUACUUUGCCGGCGAGCGGCGGACGGGUGAGUAAUGUCUGGGAAACUGCCUGAUGGAGGGGGAUAACUACUGGAAACGGUAGCUAAUACCGCAUAACGUCGCAAGACCAAAGAGGGGGACCUUCGGGCCUCUUGCCAUCAGAUGUGCCCAGAUGGGAUUAGCUAGUAGGUGGGGUAACGGCUCACCUAGGCGACGAUCCCUAGCUGGUCUGGGAGGAUGACCAGCCAAACUGGAACUGAGACACGGUCCAGACUCCUACGGGAGGCAGCAGUGGGGAAUAUUGCACAAUGGGCGCAAGCCUGAUGCAGCCAUGCCGCGUGUAUGAAGAAGGCCUUCGGGUUGUAAAGUACUUUCAGCGGGGAGGAAGGUGUUGAGGUUAAUAACCUCAGCAAUUGACGUUACCCGCAGAAGAAGCACCGGCUAACUCCGUGCCAGCCGCCGCGGUAAUAC
rnacentral:rRNA from 1 species